CGGAAUAGAGGCAAAACAGAGCCAACAGCGAAUCAAACAACAUCCUGUUGCGGAAACUCAGGGACUGGGAACACAAGCGCAGGACACGGACAGGUGUUGCGGGCAAGGUGGACUUUAUUGUCAGUUUCACACAAGAGUUGGGGAAAGUGGCGGUGGCAAGGCAAAACGGCGGAUGCCGAGGGUUGGCGAGGCGGAGACCGGAGGCGAACAGGAAAGGCGGUUGCGUGGCUGGCGAUGAGAUCCGCUAUGGGUGAACAACAAUCUGGCGACGAAUGACUGGAGAAGAUAUACUGCAGGAUGGUGAGCUGAUGAAAGGCAGGUGUGUCUGGUCAAAUGAUGAGUGAUGAGCUGAUUGCCAACAGGUGCGUAAGCCCAAGGAGCCAGAGGAGGUAGACAUGACGAAACACACGCGCGCACACACACAGGGAAGGGAUAACACCAGGGACCUGGCCAAGGCCGUAACACAUCCUUAACAACAACAAUAUAGAACAUCUAAAACACAUCAGAACUGAUAAAGUAACAGCAUGUCUGAACAGUCACACUUACACACACAAAACACACAGAUAGAGAGGCCCAAUCUCAAAGCCCCCCUAAACCUUAAGCCCUGAACUCUCACAGACUUAACUGACAUCGUGAUUGAGUGUAAGAGGCUGCAAGGUCCCAAAGUGCUAUAAAUAGGAAUGGGACAGCAUGUUUCCACAUUAUCACGUAACCUUGACUACACUGAAACCCUGCUCCUCGUGCUCUGUUGGCGGAUCGAUCGACACCAGCCCCGUCGGUGGUCCGGCCUACCCCUGCUCCUCGUGCCUUGUUGGCGGAUCGAUCGACACCAGCCCCGUUGGUGGUCCGGCCAACCCCUGCUCCUCGCACCAAGGCCCUCAGCCCAGCAGCCCCGUCCCUGACUCCCCCUGCUGCUGUCGUCGUCACGCCCUGUUCCCCGGCCUCUGGAGGGGUCGUCACGCCCCGUUCCCCCCCAGUCCGCCCUCAGGCCGCACCCCUGAACUCCCUAGCUCCCCUGGUCUGCCCGAACCCUCUGGUCCCUUUGCUCCGCCCCAGGGACGUCCGCCCAAACCCUCUGGUCCCUUUGCUCCGCCCCCGGGGACGUCGCCCAAACCCUCUGGUCCCUCCGCUUUUCCCUUGGGACGUCCGCCCGAACCCUCUGGUCCCUUUGCUCUGCCCUCAGGACGUCCGCCUGAACUCCCUGGUCCCCCAGCUCCGCCCUCUGGCACCCCAUCUGAACUCCCUGGUCCCCCAGCUCUGCCCUCUGGCACCCAGUCUGGCCCUAUUUCCUCAGUCCAGCCCUGCCCACUCGCCUGACCCUUCCCAACCCUGAAACCCUCUCUGAAGUCCCUGUGUUUUGUUUUGGACCCUGGAACCCCACCAGCCGGGCCCCAGUGGAAUUUCCUCCCCCCGACGUACUUUUGCCAUGCCCCGCCUAGUCGACUGGGAGGGCCGCCUGGAGGCGUCCGUUGAGGAGGGGGCCCUGUUGUGGUGGCAGCCCGGCUGACGGUUCACUCACCCUCGUCCUCCGUUCAGUCGGCUGGGCUCAUCCUCCG